AGCGAACGCUGGCGGCAUGCCUAACACAUGCAAGUCGCGCGGUCAGCAAUGGCAGCGGCGGACGGGUGCGUAACGCGUAGGAACGUGUCUUGAGGUGGGGGACAACCCUGGGAAACUGGGGCUAAUACCGCAUAUGGGCUGAGGCCCAAAGCCGUGAGGCGCCUUUGGAGCGGCCUGCGUCCGAUUAGCUUGUUGGUGGGGUAAUGGCCUACCAAGGCUCCGAUCGGUAGCUGGUCUGAGAGGACGAUCAGCCACACUGGGACUGAGACACGGCCCAGACUCCUACGGGAGGCAGCAGUGGGGAAUAUUGGACAAUGGCGCAAGCCUGAUCCAGCAAUGCCGCGUGGGUGAAGAAGGUCUUCGGAUCGUAAAGCCCUUUCGACAGGGACGAUGAUGACGGUACCUGUAGAAGAAGCCCCGGCUAACUUCGUGCCAGCAGCCGCGGUAA
rnacentral:rRNA from 1 species